rnacentral:rRNA from 1 species
GUCAAAUCAUCAUGCCCCUUAUGACCUGGGCUACACACGUGCUACAAUGGCCGGUACAAAGGGCAGCGAAGCCGCGAGGCGGAGCCAAUCCCAAAAAGCCGGUCUCAGUUCGGAUUGGAGUCUGCAACUCGACUCCAUGAAGCCGGAGUCGCUAGUAAUCGCGGAUCAGCAAAGCCGCGGUGAAUACGUUCUCGGGGAUU